AUUGAACGCUGGCGGCAGGCCUAACACAUGCAAGUCGAACGAGUGGCGGACGGGUGAGUAAUGUCUGGGAAACUGCCUGAUGGAGGGGGAUAACUACUGGAAACGGUAGCUAAUACCGCAUACCAUCAGAUGUGCCCAGAUGGGAUUAGCUAGUUGGUGGGGUAACGGCUCACCAAGGGGACGAUCCCUAGCUGGUCUGAGAGGAUGACCAGACACACUGGAACUGGGACACGGUCCAGACUCCGCCGUGAGGCAGCAGUGGGGAAUAUUGCACAAUGGGCGCAAUCCUGAUGAAGCCAGGCCGGGGGUAUGAAGAAGGCCUUCGGGUUGUAAAGUACUUUCAGCGGGGAGGCGUUACCCGCAGAAGAAGCACCGGCUAACUCCGUGCCAGCAGCCGCGGUAAUUC
rnacentral:rRNA from 1 species